rnacentral:rRNA from 1 species
UACGUAGGGUGCAAGCGUUAUCCGGAAUUAUUGGGCGUAAAGAGCUCGUAGGCGGUUUGUCACGUCUGCUGUGAAAACUGGAGGCUCAACCUCCAGCCUGCAGUGGGUACGGGCAGACUAGAGUGCGGUAGGGGAGAUUGGAAUUCCUGGUGUAGCGGUGAAAUGCGCAGAUAUCAGGAGGAACACCGGUGGCGAAGGCGGGUCUCUGGGCCAAUACUGACGCUGAGGAGCGAAAGCGUGGGGAGCGAACAGG